rnacentral:rRNA from 1 species
AGCUCCAAUAGCGUAUCUUAAAGUUGCUGCAGUUAAAAAGCUCGUAGUUGGAUCUCGGGGUCGAGCUGACGGUCCGCCGCGAGGCGAGCCACCGUCUGACCCAGCCCCUGCCUCUCGGCGCCCCCUCGAUGCUCUUAGCUGAGUGUCCCGCGGGGCCCGAAGCGUUUACUUUGAAAAAAUUAGAGUGUUCAAAGCAGGCCCGGUCGCCUGAAUACCGCAGCUAGGAAUAAUGGAAUAGGACUCCGGUUCUAUUUUGUGGGUUUUCUCUCUCUGAACUGGGGCCAUGAUUAAGAGGGACGGCCGGGGGCAUUCGUAUUGUGCCGCUAGAGGUGAAAUUCUUGGACCGGCGCAAGACGGACGAGAGCGAAAGCAUUUGCCAAGAAUGUUUUCAUUAAUCAAG